AUGCAUUGUGAUCUCUGGACAGCUCCCAUCUCCAGUGUUUCUGGCAACAAAUACUACCUUAUCAUCAUCGACGAUUACACUAAAUACCGGUGGACGUUUCCUCUUGUCCUUAAGUCCGACGUGCAUGCUAUUUUUCGUUCGUUCCAUGCUCUUGUUCGCACCCAUUUUCAUCGCACUAUCGCCACAUUCCAAUGCGAGAAUGGCCGAGAGUUUGACAACGCUAGUAAUCGCGACUUCUUCCUUCCUUUUGGUACGACCAUGCGUUUCUCAUGUCCUUACACGUCUUCACAAAACGGCACUGCUGAGCGCGCUAUUCGCUCCACUAACGACGUUGUACGGACCCUUCUAAUUCAAGCCAACAUGCCGCCUAAGUACUGGGCUAAUGCCCUCUCUACUACCACCCAUCUUCUCAAUCUUCGGCCAACCAAAACCCUACUUCGAUCUACUCCUCACGAGGCUAUUUUCUCUCAACCUCCUACGUAUGAUCACCUUAGGGUUUUUGGAUGUCUUUGUUUUCCCAACAUGUCCGCCACUGCUGCCCACAAGUUGGUACCGCGGUCGACGGCGUGUCUCUUUCUUGGAUAUCCUACGGAUCACAAAGGCUACCGCUGCCUUGAUCUCUCCACACACCGG
rnacentral:rRNA from 1 species